rnacentral:lncRNA from 1 species
CCACUGGGUUCAGAUACGCCAAAGAAGACAAGUAGAGAGCUGAAACAGGCAACAAGAGCAACAAAUAACAAGGACAGCUGACAUUGUUCACCAGCUGCCAGCUAACUGCGUGCUUUAUCUCAGUUCUUCAGACAACCUGAUUGUCCUCAUUUCACGCAAGGAGAUUCUAAAGCUCAGCGACAGAGCCUGUAAGACACUUGUCUGAGACCACAUGUAGGAGGUGGUAUGGCCAGAAUUGAAAGCCAGGGAGCGGGGCUUCCAAUGCAGUGUUUUUAACACUGACCAUCUCACUCUACUUAUUUUGCAGAAAGCGAAUCAAAGAUGCGGGAAGAGCCCACAGUGGGAUUAUUAGGAGCAGGUUAUUGCCAUGGACAACUGGGGCCAAAGAAAGGGACACCAAGGGAGCAGUUACAGAGGCAGGAGAGGAAGCAGAAGGAAGAGUCUCAAGAAGGAGGAUAAUCAAUGUCAAAUGUGCAGAAAGGCCAAAUAUAAUUUUUCUGUGUCUGUCUUCCAUCCAGGCCCAAGAGUCGUGAGAAGGGGAGGGGCAGAGGAAGAGUGAGAAUCCAAAGCAGACUCCACGCUGAGUGUGAAGCCCAACAUGGGACUCGAUCUUACAACCUUAAGAUGCUGACCUGAGUGGAAAUCAAAAGUCAGUCGCUUAACCAAGUAAGCCACCUGGGUGCCCCUUCCUUUGCCUGUGUUUUUUAUUAGGGUGUUGGUUUUUUUUUUUUUAAGAUUUUAUUCAUUUAUUUGACAGAGAGAGAGAGAGAGAGAGAGCACAAGUAGGCCGAGAAGCAGGCAGAGGGAGAGGGAGAAGCAGGCUUCCUGCUGAGCAGAGAGCCCAAUGUGGGGCUGGAUCCCAGGACCCUGGUAUCAUGACCUGAGCCGAAGGCAGAUGCUUAACUGAGUGAGCCACCCAGGCACCCCGUUAAAUUAGGUUUUUAAUAGGUAGCACAAAAUUGGUUCUUGCUUUUUUAUACAGUCUUAACAAUCUCUGCUUUUAGCUGCAGUGUUUAGAUCACUCAAAUGUAGUGUAAUUAUUAAUAUGGCUGGGUUUAAAUCUAUGAUAUUGCUAUUUGUUUUCUAUUUUCUUCUUUUCUCCCUCUUUUCCUACAUUCUUUUUAUGAUUCUAUUAGAUCUUUUCAUUGGCUUAUUAGCCAUACCUUUGUUUUGCUAUUGGGUUCCUCUAAAGUUUACAGAAUACAUCUUUAACUUAUCGCAGUCUACCUUCAGGUAAUAUUACACCACUUCAGGUAUAUGGGGUAAGAA